AUUGAACGCUGGCGGCAGGCUUAACACAUGCAAGUCGAGCGAGCGGCGGACGGGUGAGUAAUGUCUGGGAAACUGCCUGAUGGAGGGGGAUAACUACUGGAAACGGUAGCUAAUACCGCAUACCAUAAGAUGUGCCCAGAUGGGAUUAGCUAGUGGGUGGGGUAAUGGCUCACCGGGGCGACGAUCCCUAGCUGGUCUGAGAGGAUGACCGGCCACACUGGAACUGAGACACGGCCCGGAUUCCUACGGGAGGCAGCAGUGGGGAAUAUUGGACAAUGGGCGCAAGCCUGAUGCAGCCAGGCCGCUGGUGGGAGGAAGGCCUUCGGGUUGUAAAGCACUUUCAGCGAGGAGGCGUUACUCGCAGAAGAAGCACCGGCUAACUACGUGCCAGCAGCCGCGGUAAUUC
rnacentral:rRNA from 1 species